rnacentral:tRNA from 5 species
GCCCAGGUGGCGAAAUUGGUAGACGCGCUAGCUUCAGGUGCUAGUCCUCGCAAGGGGGUGGAGGUUCAAGUCCUCUCCUGGGCACCA